rnacentral:lncRNA from 1 species
UGAUGUUGUACCCAUGGAGUUAGAGAAAUGUAAGUGAAUAUGAAAUAUUGUUGACCCCCCCCAUGGACAUUUAUUUCAUUGUUUUCAUAUCUAUUAAGCCAUUAGCUUCAAAUUAUGCCUUACAUGGGUACAUAUGUUUGCUAAAACUCAUCACAUUAUACACCAAAAAUGGGUAGGCUUUUUUUGGCAUAUAUACUAAUUUACUUUAUUAAAUCUUCCUAAUGUUCUUUAAGGGACAAGCCAGAUGAGUAGGCUACAGUGAAGAAAUUUUAUUUGGGAGAGUUAAGAAACCACUAUGAUACUUCCAACUAUUAUCUUCAGUGAUGCUUCUUUUCUUUAUGCAAGGACUCCAAGUAAUAUUCAGCUUCUACAGCUACCACAAAUGCAGCAAAUCCCCAUUUGAAUCCUUCUAAUAGUGCACCAAGAAAGGAAACAUUGUUUGCAAAGCCACCCGUGUAUCUCCAAGCUUCAGUGCAGCCUCAUAGAUCCCUUAGCCCGCUUGCAGCCAGUUUCUUCCGGACAGUUUCUAAUGGUGUCCCUUCUAUCUUCCAUUGUUUAUAAUCUGGAAAUUCCAUUUUACUAUGUCCAUGUUCAGGUCCAGGUGCCAUGUCUGACGGCUAUCUGACCUCUCAAGACACUCAACUUUGCAAACGGAGCCAAUCCGGGCGUGUUUUAUUAUAUGUAAGUUUACAUCGAUAAAGUUUACUUAUAAGGUUUUUAAAAUUAUGCCCCAUUGGAGUCUUUAUAGAGGAUCAGGAACGAAGUGAAGGUGAGCGAGCACAGCCUACCCUCCCCCAUCUCCAUUGAAUUAACCUGGGCAGCUAGACGCUAAUUUGUUUUACCGAAAGACCUUCAACAUAGAGUCUCGUCACUUUAAGAGGCAGGGAAGAACGUAGCUGUUGUGAGUAGAUGUUGAUUGACCUGAAUAUAAACAUAAAUUGUAUACAGCUGAAGACGGUGAGGAGGUGGAACGAACUGACAAAUCAUUCCAGUGACUUAAAGGCUGCAACGUUUUGGCAGCUACAGGGCCUCUUUCUCCUCCCUUUCAACUCGCCUGGCUCUUUGAGCCACAGGAGAGACCCAAAGCCCUGAAGAACAUCCCGGAAUGCAAAGCAUUUGCAGUGAGUCACAGCUGCAGAGGUGCCAGCAAGAGCUGUUCCAGACUUAAGUAAGAGAGGGAAGCGGGGAGGAAAGGUCAGUGGCCUCAGCUGCAGAGUUAUGUCAAAAGCUGGUCCCAGGAAAGAAGCAGUAGCACUGGCUGGAACAAGGAAGGAAAACAGUGAGAAUAUAGCUGCGUGGGGACCUAGUGGUUCCCUCUGAAGCUUCCCCACCUGCUUUGCAUGGGGCUGUCAGCUCUACUAGCUGCAUUCUCUAAAUUCUAAAAAUUCUCACAGGGAUAAAAACUUUCUGGAUGGUAGAGGAUUGUAAGUUGGCAUUUGGAAAAUGAUCCCUGACAGCCUUCUAACCAACAAUCAUAAAGGGC